UAGCAUGUACGGUUCCAACAACUGCCAAUAUCUUCCAGCGUUGUAAUGUAUCUUCCAUGGACAUUUGCCUUAUUUGCUGCUUCCGAUUUGUACUGAAGUUGCCCCCAUAUCUGCAAUUGAUUUUCUCCAAAUUCUUCAUCGUCUCCGCUAUAAAAGCUCAAUCCAUGGUCAGUCAUUAGCAAGUUGUGAGCUAUCGAUUACUCCACCUGAUAGUAUACUGCAAUUACCUCUAUUAUCUUGAUCGUUGGGUCUGAUGGCUUCCUCUAAAGGCGGUUUCAAUUCAGUUGCAAGCAUUUGUCAUGGAAGAGACACAUGGAGGAUUAGGGUUCGUGUUCUUAGGAUUUGGGAGAUGUGCCCAAUUGCUGACCUAGAAAAUCCUUUUGCAGUCCAGUUGGUGUUGAUGGAUGCUGAGGGCCUGAGAAUUGAGGCAACUAUUAGAAAAUUACCCAUAAGGAAACUUUUUGGAGAGGUGGUGGAAGGAAAUAUAUAUAGGAUAAGCUUCUUCUCUGUGGUCCCUAAUGUUGGAGUCUACAAGGUAUCACAACAUGAAUUCAAGAUCCUUUCCAACAAUAGGACUAGGAUAGUGCCUGAUGAGUCUUCCCUUAUUCCUAUGCAUGGAUUUUUAUUUAUGAACUCAGCUGAAAUUGCUCGCACCAUGAAUGAAUCUGAAUAUCUUAUUGGCCUGGUGUCUGCAGUGUCAAUUCGCACCAUAUUCAAGACACGUGAGUAUAUUUUCUGACUACAUGGAGCAGAGGGCCAGGGGCAAAUAGAAAAAUAGACUGUGGAAGUUUCUAUUAGAUUUGGUGAUAUGUUUUUUUGAUUCAGUGUGUGUGAUGAAGGUUGAUACGGGUCUUGAACAGAUAUGAUAGGCCUUGACAUAUUGAAGGUAGAUUACUAAGACAUACAUAAUGUUUCGAAGGAACCUUAUGCGGGAAAGGUCCAUUUCACCUUACCAACCAUCAUGGGAAGCACGUUACUGAAAAGGACUUCUUGGGGAAGUGGACAGUGAUGUAUUUUGGAUUUACUCACUACCCCAUAUCUGCCCUGAUGAACUACAGAAGUUAGCAGAUUCAGUUGAUAAAAUAAGAGCGAAUUUUAGUGCAUAUGCAUCAUUGUCUCUGUUGUUGAGUGCUUGGAGGUAGAUGUAGAAUUUUUCUUUUUCUAACACUCUACUUGAUGGACCUUCUUUUCAGGAUGCAACAAUGGAAACCAGAGUUUGAGAUCAUACACCGGUCCAGGAGGCUCAGAAGAAUGGAUCGUUAAAAACUGAUUGGAUUUGUUUCUGAAGCAGCUGCCUGUAUGUUCCUCCCUUUAUGUAACUCGAGAAGUUAGUGGACAGCUUUUAUGAAAGACAAAAGAGUUUUCACCUGGAACACAAACUGAUGGAGUUAUGGUUCGGGAGCUGCAUCCUUAUCCAAGUCAGAUCCAUAGGACAUACCUUAGAUCAUAAGUGAAAGCGAAAAUAUGCUAAAGUUUACAAUGUAGAGCUUUUGAGGGUGACAAACAACUAGGUGUUGGGAGCAACCAUCUUUAAGAGUCCACGUGAUCUUCAGCUGGACAAGAGUGAGGCGGGUUGCAGAAGGAGCGUUAAUUUGCUUCCGUGAUAGUUUAGGAAGGUAUUGUAGUUUGUGGUUCUUGAUCUUUGUGUGUUAACUCUCAGUGUGUAGAGUACAUAUCACCAGAGGUGCUCCCAUGCGAUAGUCAAGCAUUUUAAUGAUAUAAAGGAGUUCAUAUUUAAGAAUCUAAUCUAAAGCCUAUUAUUUCAAGGUACUUGAUGGCACUGUUCAUGCUAAUAAUACCUUUUGAUCUAA